rnacentral:rRNA from 1 species
UACGAAGGGAUGCAAGCGUUAUCCGGAUUUAUUGGGUUUAAAGGGAGACGUAGGCGGUCUUAUAAGUCAGUUGGUGAAAUCUUAGUACGCCUUAACGAACAAACGUGCCAUUGAUACUGUAGGAGCUUGAGUACAGAUGCCGUUGGCGGAAUGUGUCAUGUAGCGGUGAAAUGCAUAGAUAUGACACAGAACACCGAUUGCGAAGGCAGCUGACGAAACUG